AUUGAACGCUGGCGGCAGGCCUAACACAUGCAAGUCGAGCGGUAGCACAAGAGAGCUUGCUCUCUGGGUGACGAGCGGCGGACGGGUGAGUAAUGUCUGGGAAACUGCCUGAUGGAGGGGGAUAACUACUGGAAACGGUAGCUAAUACCGCAUAACGUCUUCGGACCAAAGUGGGGGACCUUCGGGCCUCACGCCAUCAGAUGUGCCCAGAUGGGAUUAGCUAGUAGGUGGGGUAAUGGCUCACCUAGGCGACGAUCCUAGCUGGUCUGAGAGGAUGACCAG
rnacentral:rRNA from 1 species